rnacentral:tRNA from 1 species
GCCCUAGUGGCCUAAUGGAUAAGGCACUGGCCUCCUAAGCCAGGGAUUGUGGGUUCUGGGUUGAUUGGUUUUCAUCUCAGCUGGGCUA